rnacentral:rRNA from 1 species
CCUACGGGGGGCACCAGUGGGGAAUAUUGCACAAUGGGCGCAAGCCUGAUGCAGCCAUGCCGCGUGUAUGAAGAAGGCCUUCGGGUUGCAAAGUACUUUCAGCGGGGAGGGAGGUGUUGAGGUUAAUAACCUCAGCAAUUGACGUUACCCGCAGAAGAAGCACCGGCUAACUCCGUGCCAGCAGCCGCGGUAAUACGGAGGGUGCAAGCGUUAAUCGGAAUUACUGGGCGUAAAGCGCACGCAGGCGGUCUGUCAAGUCGGAUGUGAAAUCCCCGGGCUCAACCUGGGAACUGCAUUCGAAACUGGCAGGCUAGAGUCUUGUAGAGGGGGGUAGAAUUCCAGGUGUAGCGGUGAAAUGCGUAGAGAUCUGGAGGAACACCAGUGGCGAAGGCGGCUUACUGGUCUGCAACUGACGCUGAGGCGCGAAAGCGUGGGGAGCAAACAGGAUUAGAUACCCCUGUAGUC